GCAACUUGGAGGAAUGUAUAGCAAUAGCUGAUUGCACCAACAAAUAGUUGAUGCAAUAUUGACUCUGUCAAAUAAAAUUCUAGGUAGAAUUAUGAUAAUGACAUUGUCUGCCUAUAUGUCUUGACCAAAUUACGUGCCAGCAGUCGCGGUAAUACGUAGAAGACUAGUGUUAUUCAUCUUUAAUAGGUUUAAAGGGUACCUAGACGGUAAAUCAAGCCUUCACAGGGACUAAUUUACUAGAGUUACUUACGAGGGGGUAUUAAAGUACUGCAGGUGUAGAGAUGAAAUUCUGUCAUACCUCUUUUCAAAAGAAAAAUUAUGGCACAGGUAUAGGUGAAAGCAUCCCCUUAUGUGAUAACUGACGUUGAAGGACGAAGGCUUUGUGUCGCGAACAGGAUUAGAUACCCCAGUAGUCAAAGCAGAAAAUGAUGAAUGUCAUAGAUUAGAUAAAUAGUUUAUUCUAUAAAUGAAAAUGUAAGCAUUCCACCUCAAGAGUAAUUUGGCAACAUUGGAACUGAAAUCAUUAGACCGUUUCUGAAACCAGUAGUGAAGUAUGUUGUUUAAUUUGAUGAUCCGCAAAAAACCUUACCACAAUUUGAAUAUUUAUAUCUAUCUUUUUUUUUCGUAAAAAAAUAAAAAGGUAAUAUAUUUACAAGCGUUGCACGGCUGUCUUCAGUUAAUGUCGCGAGACUUUGGUUAGUUCCAUUAAAUUAACGUAAACCCUUACUUUAUUUUUAUAUGAAGUAGUUCCCCGCUAUAUUGGAUAUGAUAACAGG
rnacentral:rRNA from 1 species